UACGAAGGGGGCUAGCGUUGUUCGGAAUCACUGGGCGUAAAGCGCACGUAGGCGGAUCGUUAAGUCGAGGGUGAAAUCCCAGGGCUCAACCCUGGAACUGCCUUCGAUACUGGCGAUCUUCGAGUCCGGGAGAGGUGAGUGGAACUCCGAGUGUAGAGGUGAGAUUCGUAGAUAUUCGGAAGAACACCAGUGGCGAAGGCGGCUCACUGGCCCGGUACUGACGCUGAGGUGCGAAAGCGUGGGGAGCAAACAGG
rnacentral:rRNA from 1 species